CUUAAACUUUGUUCCAAAGAUAAACGGAGGUCUUACGGGUUUGGAACAACAUGAGGGCAACCCUCACAGGGAAAGGAAAAAAAGGCGAGCUGAAGGAGCAGCUUGAGCCAGAAAAAACCAACGCAAUUUUAGAUGCAGUGAGGGAGCGAUUCCCCAACACCGAGGUGGCAGAGAUCCGGGCCCUUCUACGGAGGAAGUGCAACAGUGAGAGCUACAAGGCCUCUAGUAACUCAAGUCAGAGCUACAGGUGCUGGUCAUAUAAUUAGAAUAUCGUGAAAAAGUUCAUUUUUUUAUUGUAAAUUAUUUUUAAAAAUGAAACUUUCAUAUAUUCUAGAUUCCCUACAUGUAAAGUAAAACAUUUCAAAAGUUUUUUUUUUUAAUUUGUUGAUUAGAGUGUACAGCUCAUGAAAGUUCAAAAUCCUGUAUCUCAAAAUAUUCGAAUAUUUUCUAAGAUCAAUCAAAAAAUGGAUUUUCAAAACAGAAAAGUUCAAGUUCUUUAAAGUAUGUUCAUUUGUACACUCAAUACUUGGUCGGCAGCACAUAUUACAGGAAAUGACUUGCUCCUAGCACAA